rnacentral:rRNA from 1 species
AGAUUGAACGCUGGCGGCAGGCCUAACACAUGCAAGUCGAGCGGUAGAGAGGUGCUUGCAUCUCUUGAGAGCGGCGGACGGGUGAGUAAUGCCUAGGAAUCUGCCUAGUGGUGGGGGAUAACGUUCGGAAACGGACGCUAAUACCGCAUACGUCCUACGGGAGAAAGCGGGGGACCUUCGGGCCUCGCGCCAUUAGAUGAGCCUAGGUCGGAUUAGCUAGUUGGUGAGGUAAUGGCUCACCAAGGCGACGAUCCGUAACUGGUCUGAGAGGAUGAUCAGUCACACUGGAACUGAGACACGGUCCAGACUCCUACGGGAGGCAGCAGUGGGAAUAUUGACAA